ACAGCCGCCUUACCCUCUUUGCUGCAGCGGUCAUGAUAGCUUCAGGCCUUGAUCGUAGCGGGUGGGCGCUGGUGGCUGGCCUUUUCCUCUUGCUGCCUCCGGAGCCUGGGGGCUACCUAGCCCGGAACUGGCAGGCCGAGGCCCCUGCGCAGAGCUGAGGAUGCCGGACUGCGGAGGCACAGACCGUCCAAAGGAACAGCGUCUCACCAUGAGAGGUUGAAAUUGGGAGUUAAGGAUGGGUCUUCAGUUAAGUGUUAGAGCUGACAGCCUUGGCUUCCUAUGAGGUGUAUGUGUGCACUUGCCUGGCUCCUACUUUUGAGAUCUGGGAUGCAGUUUGAGGUGGCAGCAGCCCAGGAGGCUAUAUUCUCAGGAUGAUCAACUCAAGAUUCUGAAAGCAGUUUCCAGCGUGGGCACAGAAACACUCCAAGAGAUGUCUGACAACUUGGGUUCUAGGACAGGCACAUUUGGAACCAUUCACUAACCUGUCCAAUAGCUUCUGCACCUUUUAAUAAAUUUUUCUUACAAAAUUGC